rnacentral:rRNA from 1 species
UACAGAGGUCUCAAGCGUUGUUCGGAUUCAUUGGGCGUAAAGGGUGCGUAGGCGGCGCGGUAAGUCGGGUGUGAAAUCUCGGAGCUUAACUCCGAAACUGCAUUCGAUACUGCCGUGCUUGAGGACUGGAGAGGAGACUGGAAUUUACGGUGUAGCGGUGAAAUGCGUAGAUAUCAAGCGGAACACCAGUGGCGAAGGCGAGUCCCUGGACAACUCCUGACACUGAGGCACGAAAGCUAGGGGAGCAAACAGG